rnacentral:rRNA from 1 species
AAAUUGAAGAGUUUGAUCAUGGCUCAGAUUGAACGCUGGCGGCAGGCCUAACACAUGCAAGUCGAGCGGUAACACAGAGAGCUUGCUCUCGGGUGACGAGCGGCGGACGGGUGAGUAAUGUCUGGGAAACUGCCUGAUGGAGGGGGAUAACUACUGGAAACGGUAGCUAAUACCGCAUAAUGUCGCAAGACCAAAGUGGGGGACCUUCGGGCCUCAUGCCAUCAGAUGUGCCCAGAUGGGAUUAGCUAGUAGGUGGGGUAACGGCUCACCUAGGCGACGAUCCCUAGCUGGUCUGAGAGGAUGACCAGCCACACUGGAACUGAGACACGGUCCAGACUCCUACGGGAGGCAGCAGUGGGGAAUAUUGCACAAUGGGCGCAAGCCUGAUGCAGCCAUGCCGCGUGUGUGAAGAAGGCCUUCGGGUUGUAAAGCACUUUCAGCGGGGAGGAAGGCGUUAAGGUUAAUAACCUUGGCGAUUGACGUUACCCGCAGAAGAAGCACCGGCUAACUCCGUGCCAGCAGCCGCGGUAAUACGGAGGGUGCAAGCGUUAAUCGGAAUUACUGGGCGUAAAGCGCACGCAGGCGGUCUGUCAAGUCGGAUGUGAAAUCCCCGGGCUCAACCUGGGAACUGCAUUCGAAACUGGCAGGCUAGAGUCUUGUAGAGGGGGGUAGAAUUCCAGGUGUAGCGGUGAAAUGCGUAGAGAUCUGGAGGAAUACCGGUGGCGAAGGCGGCCCCCUGGACAAAGACUGACGCUCAGGUGCGAAAGCGUGGGGAGCAAACAGGAUUAGAUACCCUGGUAGUCCACGCCGUAAACGAUGUCGAUUUGGAGGUUGUGCCCUUGAGGCGUGGCUUCCGGAGCUAACGCGUUAAAUCGACCGCCUGGGGAGUACGGCCGCAAGGUUAAAACUCAAAUGAAUUGACGGGGGCCCGCACAAGCGGUGGAGCAUGUGGUUUAAUUCGAUGCAACGCGAAGAACCUUACCUGGUCUUGACAUCCACAGAACUUAGCAGAGAUGCUUUGGUGCCUUCGGGAACUGUGAGACAGGUGCUGCAUGGCUGUCGUCAGCUCGUGUUGUGAAAUGUUGGGUUAAGUCCCGCAACGAGCGCAACCCUUAUCCUUUGUUGCCAGCGGUUCGGCCGGGAACUCAAAGGAGACUGCCAGUGAUAAACUGGAGGAAGGUGGGGAUGACGUCAAGUCAUCAUGGCCCUUACGACCAGGGCUACACACGUGCUACAAUGGCAUAUACAAAGAGAAGCGACCUCGCGAGAGCAAGCGGACCUCAUAAAGUAUGUCGUAGUCCGGAUUGGAGUCUGCAACUCGACUCCAUGAAGUCGGAAUCGCUAGUAAUCGUAGAUCAGAAUGCUACGGUGAAUACGUUCCCGGGCCUUGUACACACCGCCCGUCACACCAUGGGAGUGGGUUGCAAAAGAAGUAGGUAGCUUAACCUUCGGGAGGGCGCUUACCACUUUGUGAUUCAUGACUGGGGUGAAGUCGUAACAAGGUAACCGUAGGGGAACCUGCGGUUGGAUCACCUCCUUA